rnacentral:rRNA from 1 species
AAUGAACGUUGGCGGCGUGGAUUAGGCAUGCAAGUCGUGCGAGAAUCUCCUUCGGGAGAGGACAGCGGCGAAAGGGAGAGUAACGGGUGGUUACAUACCCUCAGGCCCGGGAUAGUGUCGGGAAACUGACAGUAAUACCGGAUAAUAUCUUUGGAUCAAAGGUGUGAUUCCGCCUGAGGAUUGGACCGCUUUCUAUUAGCUAGUUGGUGGGUAAUGGCCCACCAAGGCUCAGAUGGAUACCGGGUGUGAGAGCAUGGCCCGGCUCACUGGGACUGAGACACUGCCCAGACACCUACGGGUGGCAG